rnacentral:rRNA from 1 species
UGUGUAGGCGGAAGAGUAAGCGUCUUGUGAAAUCCCUCGGCUUAACCGGGGAAUUGCUUGGCAUACUGCCAUUCUUGAGGUCGGUAGGGGUGCGUGGAACUCUUGGUGGAGCGGUGGAAUGCGUAGAUAUCAAGAGGAACGCCCGUGGAGAAGUCGGCGCACUGGGCCGAUCCUGACACUGAGACACGAAAGCGUGGGGAGCAAACAGGAUUAGAUACCCUGGUAGUCC